rnacentral:rRNA from 1 species
UACGUAGGGUGCGAGCGUUGUCCGGAAUUACUGGGCGUAAAGAGCUCGUAGGUGGUUUGUCGCGUUGUUCGUGAAAACUCACAGCUUAACUGUGGGCGUGCGGGCGAUACGGGCAGACUGGAGUACUGCAGGGGAGACUGGAAUUCCUGGUGUAGCGGUGGAAUGCGCAGAUAUCAGGAGGAAUACCUAUGGCGAAGGCAGGUUACUGGGCCAUCACUGACGCUGAGCUGCGAAAGCUAGGGGAGCAAACAGG